rnacentral:lncRNA from 1 species
GGCAUUCGACAAAGUGUGUCAUCAGCUACUACUUCACAAGCUAAGUUUUCUUAACCUUGAUCCUAACCUUUUUAAGUGGAUUGAAUCAUUUCUUCUUAACCGAUUACAAUUUGUUAGUGCUAAUGGUCAUAACUCAUCGUUUACUGACGUACAUUCUGGCGUUCCUCAGGGGUCCGUCCUUGGACCCCUUCUGUUCUUAAUUUACAUUAAUGAUCUGCCUUCCGUUAUCAAUUCCAAAAU